AGAAGUUCCGCCUGCUUCCUGUCGGGGGCUCCUUGGAGGAUGAGUUUGACCUGGAGCUCAUUGAGGAGGAGUCUUCUGCCCCAGAGGCCUCCCACUAAGAAACCUCCCUUCCUUGUUCCCAGCAUUGGCAGGGAGACCUUGUGUUGGGGGAAGCAGAUGUUGGGGUUUUGUGGGGCCUUGCCAGUCUUUACACUUGUUCUCAGUUUCCCUCCUUCUACAGAGGACUUGCCUUGCCUCUGUCUGGGGAGGGAAGCCAGCUUGGUGGCCUAAAGCAGUGCCCCCAGAGUCUUCAAAGACUUCUAAGGCUGGCAGAAGCUUCUAAGGAGGUUAGGAAUAUCUAUCUUGAGAGAGAGCUGGGGACCUUUUUAGAUGCCCUCAGUCACUUUCACAUCCACAAGCCUGCUGAGCUGAGCCUGGUUCCUGGCUAAGCCCCUCGAGAUGCAGAUCCUUGGAGGAGACUGGCAGCUGCUCUGGAGUCAGUCCUCCCACCGAGUCCUCCCACCUGCACAAGGAUGCUCCCGCCUGUCACUUGCCUUGAAUCUCACGGAGCCUGUGUCAAUAAUUCAAUUAUUUCAAAACACCAAUAAAGAUCUGUUCAUGGAAAAAG
rnacentral:lncRNA from 1 species